GAUGAACGCUGGCGGCGUGCCUAAUACAUGCAAGUCGAGCGAACAGACGAGGAGCUUGCUCCUCUGACGUUAGCGGCGGACGGGUGAGUAACACGUGGAUAACCUACCUAUAAGACUGGGAUAACUUCGGGAAACCGGAGCUAAUACCGGAUAAUAUAUUGAACCGCAUGGUUCAAUAGUGAAAGACGGUUUUGCUGUCACUUAUAGAUGGAUCCGCGCCGCAUUAGCUAGUUGGUAAGGUAACGGCUUACCAAGGCAACGAUGCGUAGCCGACCUGAGAGGGUGAUCGGCCACACUGGAACUGAGACGCGGUCCAGGGUCCUACGGGAGGCAGCAGUAGGGAAUCUUCCGCAAUGGGCGAAAGCCUGACGGAGCAACGCCGCGUGAGUGAUGAAGGUCUUCGGAUCGUAAAACUCUGUUAUUAGGGAAGAACAAAUGUGUAAGUAACUAUGCACGUCUUGACGGUACCUAAUCAGAAAGCCACGGCUAACUACGUG
rnacentral:rRNA from 1 species